CAGAAGUUCAUGUGUAAGACAAUGUAAGAUGUUUAGAGGUGAAAAGAUUGGGUUAUGAGAGCUUUAACUCAAUCAGUGCAUUAAUCCACUGAUAUGGAUUAACUGGGCAGUAACUGUAGGUAGGUAGGGUGUGGCUGGAGGAAGCAGGCCCAUGGGGUUGUGCCUUUAGCAUCUAUAUUUUGUCCCUGGUGAGCAGAGCCCUCUGUUUCAUGAUUCCCAUGACCUGAACUCCUUUUCUCCUCCAUGCCCUUCUGCCAUGAUGCUCUGCCUCACUUGGGCCCAAAACUAUGGUGUUGGCCAUCUAUGAGCUGAGACUUCUGAAACCAUGAGCCCCAAAUAAUGUCUCCCUCCUCUAAAAUUGUUCUUGUCAGGUUUUUGGUCAUAGCAACACAGAGCUGACUAAAACACAUACAAUGGAAUAUUAUUCAUCCACAAAAAGGAAUGAAAUUCUUAUAUUUGCUGCAAUAUAGAUGAACUUUAAAGACCUUCUGCCAAAUGAAAUAAGCUAGUCAUACUUUCACUUAAAUAAGUAAAGUUCAUAGAGAAUAGUCAAGUUCCUAGAAACAGAAAGUAGAACAAUAGUUACUAGGAGUUGAGAGGUGGAAUAAUGGAAAGGUUUUUGAUUGUUUAUUUGUUUGUUUUUUAAGGAUACAGAGCUUCUGUUUGAGAUGAUGAAAAAAAUUCUGUAAAUGGAUAAUGGUAAUGGUGG
rnacentral:lncRNA from 1 species